AUGAACGCUGGCGGCGUGCCUAAUACAUGCAAGUCGAGCGAACGGACGAGAAGCUUGCUUCUCUGAUGUUAGCGGCGGACGGGUGAGUAACACGUGGAUAACCUACCUAUAAGACUGGGAUAACUUCGGGAAACCGGAGCUAAUACCGGAUGAUAUUUUGAACCGCAUGGUUCAAAAUUGAAAGACGGUCUUGCUGUCACUUAUAGAUGGAUCCGCGCUGCAUUAGCUAGUUGGUAAGGUAACGGCUUACCAAGGCAACGAUGCAUAGCCGACCUGAGAGGGUGAUCGGCCACACUGGAACUGAGACACGGUCCAGACUCCUACGGGAGGCAGCAGUAGGGAAUCUUCCGCAAUGGGCGAAAGCCUGACGGAGCAACGCCGCGUGAGUGAUGAAGGUCUUCGGAUCGUAAAACUCUGUUAUUAGGGAAGAACAUAUGUGUAAGUAACUGUGCACAUCUUGACGGUACCUAAUCAGAAAGCCACGGCUAACUACGUG
rnacentral:rRNA from 1 species